CUAGCUUUACCGGCCGCCGGCCUAUUCUUUGUGGAUUAACCUCUUUCUGUGCGCAGUUUAACCAGCCAUUGUCCUGCAGUAACGUGAACUGUUCUUGCAGGAGGUUUCCACACAAAAGCCCUUCAGUGCCCAGGCAGACCUCAAAGAGCCAUCAUCUCUCCAUCUCCAUCUCUUCAAAGACUCCUUCAUCACUCUGAAUCUCCUCUGUUCCUCCUCGGCCCCUCGUUUAGGAGCGGGACCCCACCGGCCCUCACCUCCCCCAUUGACCAGCACACUUAUCCCAGUGUCUCCUGAGAGCUCAGAGCUCAUAAGUAAGACCUUGACAGCUGAUAAUGACUUUGGGGAAGGAGAUCACUGCUGCGUUUUUGAUGGUGCACAUGCAGGGUCCAAAAUCAACACUUGCCAAGUACUGGAUGAGCGUACAAAUUGACUUUUGGCAAGUACAAAGGCUUCUCCAUCAGCAGGGGCAGCACUCUCAACCUGUCCAUCUCCCAAAAACCCUGCUGGAUCUCAGCAAAAGGGGGGCCAGAGAGUGGUCUUUGAAGAGCAAGCCGUCAUUAUCUUCUCUGAGGGCUCUCGUCUGGUAA
rnacentral:lncRNA from 1 species